UUUGCAGAAGAAUCGGUGAAUCUGAGAUUGGCAGCGUUGGAGGUAGUGAUUGUAUUGUGUGGCUUCUUCUUCUUGGAGACGAAUAGAUCUGUUGGGAUGCCAUCUGAGUUGGGUUGAUAGGAUCCUUGAGCAUGAUCCAUUGGUAAGUGAGAUUUGAUUUUCGUUUUUCUGUAGUUUGAUUGCUUGAAUGCUACUCCAUUUGUCAUGAACUCAUAUGAUGUAUGAACAUCUCUAAUUAUAUACACGUAUGUAUAUGANNNNNNNNNNNNNNNNNNNNNNNNNUAUAUAUAAUAAUUUAUGCAUUAUAAAAUUAUACAUACAAUAUUUUAAAAUGUAAAGUAUUAUGUAUAAAGGAAAUUAUUAUACACGAGUGAGCCGAAAAUAUGUUUAAUGAUCUUAUAAACCUUAGAAAAAUGAUUUUCGAAGGUAAUUGAGUUUCAAAUUUGUUUAAAAAAGCGAAAUUGACUUAUUUAGGUAAUUAACUUUUCGGUUUGUUUACAUCUGGAUAAUUUUUUUUUGUACACGUUUAGAUAACGAACUUUUUAGAAGUGUUCACAUAUAACCAUUAUGAUCGGCUGUAACAAGUUACAUUUAGUCAUAAUGAUCAUAUGUGAACACUUCCAAAAAGUUCGUUACCUAGAUGUGUACAAAAAAAUAAAUUAUCCAAAUGUGAACAAACCAAAAAGUUAAUUACUUUAAUAAAUCAAUUUCUUUUCUUUUUUAUUUUAUCUUUUAAUUUUGAUUUUGUAUAAAAUUUAACCUAAAUGGUAAAAUAUUUUAAAAUCACAUCAUUUUGGUAAAUAUCUUUUUAAAAUACACUACUUUGGUAAAAAAAAAAAAACUUUAGAUUUGACAUGGAAAAAAACACAUGGUCAUUUUACAGAAUUUUAUUGUGUAAGAUAUUAAAUAUAAAAAUUUAAAUUUACUAGAGACUAAAAGUAUUAAAAAUUAAGACCAAUAAUAUAAAAAAAACACACAGUUUGAUGAAUUAAAGCUUCAAAUAUUGUAUAUAGAGUUUCAGGCUUUGAUUUGCAAUUUAACUUAUGGUUUUCAAUUUAUAUAGUUCUUUAUUUUUUCUUUCUGGUAUCAAUUUUCUUUUCCUGCAAGGAUUGUGAUGCAUUGGAUUGUGGUGGUGAAAAAUUCGAUGAAGAGAUAAUGGGUUGUGGUGUUGAUUCAUUGGAGUUGAAUGACCGAAAAAAG
rnacentral:lncRNA from 1 species